AUAUUUUAAAGCAAAAUUGCCUUCUUAAUAUCUUCAAUAUUACACUUUUAUAUAAGCUAUUAAAAUA
rnacentral:tRNA from 2 species